rnacentral:misc_RNA from 1 species
AACGCACAUUGCGCCCCUUGGUAUUCCGGGGGGCAUGCCUGUUCGAGCGUCAUUUCAACCCUCAAGCUCUGCUUGGUCUUGGGCCGCGCCGGCAACGGCGGGCCUCAAAAACAGUGGCGGCGCCAUCGUGUUCCUCAGCGUAGUAAUUCUUCUCGCUGUUGGGCCCCGGUGGCCGCUGGCCAGCAACCCCCAAUUUUUCUAUGGUUGACCUCGGAUCAGGUAGGGAUACCCGCUGAACUUAA